rnacentral:rRNA from 1 species
AUUGAACGCUGGCGGCAGGCCUAACACAUGCAAGUCGAGCGAGCGGCGGACGGGUGAGUAAUGUCUGGGAAACUGCCUGAUGGAGGGGGAUAACUACUGGAAACGGUAGCUAAUACCGCAUACCAUCAGCAGUGCCCAGAUGGGAUGCGCUAGUAGGUGGGGUAACGGCUCACCUAGGCGACGAUCCCUAGCUGGUCUGAGAGGUUGACCAUACACACUGGAACUGAGACGCGGACCAGAAUCCUACGGGAAGCAACAGGGGUGAAGAUUGCAGAAUGGGCGGAAUGCAGAUGCAUCCAUGCCGCAUGUGUGAAGAAGGCCUUCGGGUUGUAAAGCACGUUCAGCGGGGAGGGGUUACCCGCAGAAGAAGCACCGGGUAACUCCGAGCCAGGAAGCGCGGUAAUUC